ensembl:processed_transcript 9330154J02Rik RIKEN cDNA 9330154J02 gene
GAGGCCAGGAAGGCUGCCGGGGAGGUGGAAGACGAGGGUACCGAAGAGCUGGGGGCCGACGCGGAGACCCAACCCAGCAGCACUAGCGCCAGCCUUGCCAACCUCAGCCGUCCGUCCCCGGCGGAGGGGCCCCGGGAGCCCGCCCCAGGCAUCGCGGCUCGCGGUUCCCCGGAGCUGGGACAGCGCCCGCUCCGAAGACUCGACCGCCUGGGCCCGGCGGGCGCGAGCCGGCCGCAAGCGUCGACGGCAAACUUUCCUCGCGUGGGAGCAGAGGAGGGGACGCCAAAAGCUGGAACUUGGCUAACCCCGAGCCACCGGGCGUCCCCCUCCCGGAGCGGCACCCCGCCCUUCCCUCCAGUGAGUACGCACGGCGGGUCGGGACACGGGCCUUGGCGCUCCUCCUCCCGCCGCAGCUGGGGUGGGUGGCACCUCCUCAACUCCUUUGUUGGCGCCUCUCUCAGGGCAGGAUCGGAUGAGCGACCUGGGACAAGCGGGAGAGAAGCGUGAGGAGGAGUGACGGCCUCAGCUCUCAGAGUACGAACCAAGUUGUCCCCACACUAGCAACCCGGCCCAAGCUUCUGUGUGCGUCCUUCCUCCCUAGUGGGACGCGGUCCCCACUCCCAGGCGCUAAGCCUACCUCUUCCGGGCCCACACCAUCAGGACCCGGGCCACCUCCCGCCUGGCUCCUGCCCGGAUUGCCCUCCUCCCGCCUAGAACUUCACGCAGACCCCGCGGUGUCCAGCGAGCAAACUUCUCCCUUUUCCGGAUCCCAGCUCCUACCGCCCCGGCCGACCACCUGCCUUCCGGGGUCCCCGCCCCCGCCGCUCCUCCCCCUCCCACCUUGGGAUGAGAGCGAAGUUUCGGGUUACGGGACUCUUAAGAGCUNNNNNNNNNNNNNNNNNNNUUUUUUGGUACCUCCUUGGAUUCCCCCGGCUCUCUUCACGCCCUAGUAUAGAAAGGAACCCUGGUCCCGCCUCCAGGCUCCAAGCCUGGCCGCUCGGUCCCCACUGCUCACCUCCGCACCCCGCGCCUGCAAAGCCAACGGGCCACCCGAGUCCACGCGCCUUCCCAGCUCCUGCUGCGGGCGCCGACUCUCCUCUCACCCCAGCCCCUGGCCCAACCUCCACGGCUGGGAAAAACCAAGCCGGGGGGCGGGGGAGGGCCAGGGCUGCAGGAGAGAUCGCCGCCGCGCUGGCCACCUCUGCUGCCCCAGGUGGAAGCAGAAGGAGCAGAAGUUCCAGCUCACCUUCGGCUACGAGAUGACUUUGAGAUGACCUGGAGAAAGACCCUGUCUUGAAACAAUCCCAGAAAGAAGAGCAGGCUGAGCCAUUGUCAAGCCAGCUCAUCAGACAGAUCACUGGAAGAAAAAAACCUGACAAGACGCCGCAAGAAAAGGAAACCACAGAGCGCGACCACGUAUGAUUGUAGAUGUAACAUCCUUCCGCUAAAUUAAACCUAAUCAAACCCAGAGACAAGCAAAAAUGACUGUAAUCCAUGACUACGCAGGAUUCACAUCUAGGAAUACAAGGAUGCUUAAAUGAAAAGAAAUUGACUGUGGCAAUACAAAUUACCAAUGGAAACAAAAGAAAACAAACAAACAGACAGAAACAAAAUAUGGCCAUACCAUCUGAUGUGGUAGAGUAUUUAGCAAUAUUCACCAUCCAGUCUGAUAAAAGAAAACACCCUGCCUAAUAUAAAUGAAAGAAGUCCCUAUUCUGGUUAAGAGUACCAGAAACCAAACUAAUACCACAAAGAGCACACCUACAAUGGCAUGUAAUGGCAGGAGAUAUGAUUUCCUGUUAUACUGAUGAUGCACAGGGGAGAAUAUGCUGCAGCCUUAAACAUUCAUAAAAUGAAGAGUUAUAUUUUUAAUUUCUUGUGAUUUUUUUUAUAUAAUAAAAAGUCACAUUGUCAGAGAAUAGAGUUGGUCUGUCUCCUCCUGCCUAGUCUGACUGCCUCAUGUUCUUGCCUGAUUGUCUUAUGUGGCAUGCCCAAUACAAUCUUGAAAAAAAGCUAGGUAAGAGCAGACAUCCUUGUUUUGGUAUUUACUAUCAUGUGAAACCAUUCUGUCUUUAAGCAUUAAAUGUUAUCUUAGCUGUGGAGUUUUACUUCUUGCUGCUAUUACUGUUUUUUUAUAUCUCAAUUUAAUAGAAUUUCAUUGACACACU